UAAGGUCCCUAGAUAAAAAAGUUUUUAAAAAAAAGUUUUCAAAACUUUUUAUCUAGGGACCUUACGGAGGAAGGAGGUGACGCCUGGCUAGUGCACGAACAGCAGACCAAUUAUUUAUUUAUUUAUUACUAAUUUUAUUCCUGUGGCGCAUGAAACGCCUGCCCUGUUUCAAAAGGGAAUAAAAACAAUUACUUACUUACUUACUUAAGCCUGUAAACCCAUAGAGUUCGUAAACCAGAAGUCGCAACAGGCCUCGUUGUACCAGGUGUUCUGUGGUUGUACUGCAGGCUCACCACCAACUUCGCGCGAGCAAAUGUACUUCAAAUCCGCGGUUACACAAUUGCCGUGUUGAUAAAUAUUGCGCGCAUUUAUUCUAUGCAUAUCGUGCUUUUGAAUUCAUCUACUGGAUAGUUUACGCGUGUCGGAAAGUUCUCCUGCAUUGAUCGAGUGGCGGACGAUGUCUGGCCGUACGUUGCCGCUCAAAACAGCCUCAUCGGACGCGCGCCGUUGUGCCCGCUCUUAUAAGUGCUUUCUUCCUUCGUUUAUCGAUUACCCGCGUUGUUCGCGUGAUGCAAUAUCGAAUGUACGAAGACAAUCCACGCCCCCGUGUUGUGACAAGCAGUGACUGGUGUUAUACAAAAGCGGAAGCUUGAGCCUUUUGACGAGCGACUGAAGAGUGCACAGCCAAUGCCAAACUUCGGAACCGAUAGCCCGGGCGGCGUGUUGGCACAGCGAGGAUGAUGAACUAAAGACCGGAAAGGCAGCGAUGACAGCUGUUCAUGGCACCGACACAAAGGACAGGUUGCAGUGCACGAUUGGAGUGGUCUUCCUGCAAGCCCUGACGAACCAUAUUGAGUGGUUUUAAAUACAGCAGCGGUGCCAGGAAGAGAGUGCAACAAGACACCCUAUCAUCAGUGCAAAGUUGGAAAAUUAAAUAAAAGUGCACUUCUGCAAAUGUCUCA